AAAUUUAGGUUUACUAAACCAAGAGCCUUCAAAGCCCUAAAUAGGGUCACCGCCCUAAUUUCUG
rnacentral:tRNA from 1 species